CAUUAUUGAUAUUAAUUGUCUACCUUCAGUGCUGGCUCUUGCAUGUGCACGUUGGGACAUAUAUCCAUACCCUCUUGUGAACCAUUGGCCUUUGCUGGCUUCGGCUGGUAAAGGAUUUUACACAAAUGAAUGUAAUGAAAUAAUCUUGUGCUGAGCACUAAAUAUACAACUUUCAACAACGGAUCUCUUGGCUCUCGCAUCGAUGAAGAACGCAGCGAAAUGCGAUAAGUAAUGUGAAUUGCAGAAUUCAGUGAAUCAUCGAAUCUUUGAACGCACCUUGCACCCUUUGGUAUUCCAAAGGGUAUGCCCGUUUGAGUGUCAUUAUACUCUCACACUCUCUAAUUAGUUAGAGAGCGGUGGAUUUGGAUGCUGCCUGGUACUUACUGUCAGGCUCAUCUUAAAUAAAUUAGUGCGACUCUUAGUUAAACAUAGUACGGCGUGAUAAGUAACCCUCGCUGUUUUCUGUCUGAUUAGGAGCUGUGCUUCAACCGUCUCAGGACAUAUUUGAUAACUUGACCUCAAUCGAGUAGGAUUACCCGCUGACUUAA
rnacentral:rRNA from 1 species